ensembl:misc_RNA Metazoa_SRP Metazoan signal recognition particle RNA
ACUGGGUGUGGUGGCGCAUGCCUGUAAUCCCAGCUACUUGGGAGACUGAGGUGGGAGAAUCGCUUGAACCUGGAAGGCUGAGGUUGCAGUGAGCUGAAAUUGUGCCACUGCACUUCAGCCUGGGUGACAGAGUGAGAUUCCAUCUCAA